CCGUGCGGCGCCCGGAACCGUCUGCCUUGAGCGGCAGCGCCUCCCGGUCACUACAACAACGGCGGCCCAAUCAAACCCCGCGCUCCAGGCGUGGCCAGACGAGCCCCGAGACUCUGUCCGCGCCGAGGACUGCGGGCCCCCUGUCGCCGGGCGGGCCGCUCCGGGACCGAGUGCUGCCACACACUAAAGCCAACGUUUAUUAGCCAACCACGUUUAUUAACGCCAGCGUUCUCCCGGGUUUGAUGCUAGGAAGGGGAUAGUAACCAGGUCCGGAAUGAGAGCGACCGAAAAAGGAAAGGGGCUGCGAGCCUUCUAUCGAUGCAAUCAGUGUUCUAUUACACGUUAAAGAGACCGCGCGCGCCCACGGGUUUCCAACUCGUCCCCUACAGCUUGUUAUGACAGGAGAGGGAGCUUUGAUAUGAAGAGGAGCAGCUUGCUAGUGCCCUACGAGAGAUACCGAAACCGGACACCUGUGGUGUUCAUCCAUUUUAGUGUUUUCCUGCUGUUUGUGUCUAUUCUCAUCUGCUCGUUUGUGUAUGUUUAGAAUAAUAAAAUUACACAUAUUUAAAGUC